rnacentral:rRNA from 1 species
GGGGAAUAUUGCACAAUGGGCGAAAGCCUGAUGCAGCAACGCCGCGUGAGUGAUGAAGGCCUUCGGGUUGUAAAGCUCUGUCUUUUGGGACGAUAAUGACGGUACCAAAGGAGGAAGCCACGGCUAACUACGUGCCAGCAGCCGCGGUAAUACGUAGGUGGCGAGCGUUGUCCGGAUUUACUGGGCGUAAAGGAUGCGUAGGCGGAUAUUUAAGUGAGAUGUGAAAUACCCGAGCUUAACUUGGGUGCUGCAUUUCAAACUGGAUAUCUAGAGUGCGGGAGAGGAGAAUGGAAUUCCUAGUGUAGCGGUGAAAUGCGUAGAGAUUAGGAAGAACACCAGUGGCGAAGGCGAUUCUCUGGACCGUAACUGACGCUGAGGCAUGAAAGCGUGGGUAGCAAACA